rnacentral:sRNA from 1 species
AAUUACCCGUAAACUGCGUUAGGGAUGGCAGCGGUAUCCUUUUGUGGAAAACUAAAUUUUUUCGGUGUAAACCGAUAAGCCUAUCGCAAAAGAUUUAGCGGACAGCCCAGCCCGCA